GGCAGAUUAGCUUAAUGGUAAAGCACUUGGCCGGUGUCUUCAAGAGAUGUGGGUUCAAGUCCCAUGGCUGUUU
rnacentral:tRNA from 1 species